UCAAGUCCAGGUCUGCCAUGGGCACCAGACUCCUCUUCUGUGUGGUGAUCUGGCUUCUGGGGUUAGGUCUCAAGAAUGCCAGUGUCACCCAGAGCCCAAGACACCUGGUCAAGAGGAGAGGACAGGAGGCAACCCUGAAAUGCAUCCCAGAGAAAGGUCACAGUUAUGUUUCCUGGUACCAGCAGCUCCCAGAGGAAGGUCUGAAAUUCAUGAUCUAUCUCCAGAAAGGAAGCAUCAUAGAUGACUCAGGAAUGCCAACAAAACGGUUUUCUGCUGAAUUUCCCAGAGAAGGACCCAAUGUCUUCAAGAUAGAGCUAGCAGAGCUGGGACACUCAGCAGUGUACUUCUGUGCCAGCUCAGCAUCCACAUCAGUGCAGAGUCAUGUCUCUUCAGUGCACAAACAUCCCCCCACUCCCUGCCCAGAAACAGCAUGA